rnacentral:rRNA from 1 species
UACGAAGGGGGCUAGCGUUGCUCGGAAUCACUGGGCGUAAAGGGUGCGUAGGCGGGUCUUUAAGUCAGGGGUGAAAUCCUGGAGCUCAACUCCAGAACUGCCUUUGAUACUGAGGAUCUUGAGUUCGGGAGAGGUGAGUGGAACUGCGAGUGUAGAGGUGAAAUUCGUAGAUAUUGGGAAGAACACCGGUGGCGAAGGCGGCUCACUGGCUCGUUUCUGACGCUCAGGCGCGACAGCGUGGGGAUCAAACAGG